UUCUUUCCCCACCCCAGUAGAGGAUAAACCUUAGGAGGAACCAGUCAAAGGAAAGAGCUCCUUCUGGAACUGUCAAGCACUUGGUGCAGUGGCAGGCUUUCCACAGAAGUGGCUGAGGAUUUGAGAAGAGGUUACAGAGCAUCAAGGAGCGGCACUGUGCAGUGAUGGCUUCCAAAUGGUGAAGAGGUGCCUGAAGCCCCAUCCUGUCUAGCCUGCGCACACCUCGCUAAGAAUGAAAGCUGCUUUCCAGUAAUUCAGACAGCCAAGUUACGUCUCAGCCUUGAGCAUCUGGGGACUGUGCCUGUGCUUUUGGGCCUGUCUGUAGCAUUUGGCAC